rnacentral:rRNA from 1 species
UACGUAGGGGGCAAGCGUUGUCCGGAUUCAUUGGGCGUAAAGAGCGUGUAGGCGGCCAGGUAGGUCGGUUGUGAAAACUGGAGGCUCAACCUUCAGAGGUCGACCGAAACCAUCUGGCUAGAGUCCGGGAGAGGAGAGUGGAAUUCCUGGUGUAGCGGUGAAAUGCGCAGAUAUCAGGAGGAACACCGGUGGCGAAGGCAGGUCUCUGGGCCACUACUGACGCUGAGAAGCGAAAGCAUGGGGAGCGAACAGG